UAACCUUUAUAUUUCAUGAAUUUGCAAUUUUACAAAAGUAUUCUUCAAACCAUAAACAAACAAUGAUGAAACAAAACGUUUCAUGUGCAGAAGAAAAAUUCAUUUACAGAUCUUCAGUUGAAAAAUGUACAUUUCGGCUUAAAAUUAUGAUAAAUAAGAGCAAGUAUUCAUAAUCUUAUUGUAUAAAAUAAUUGCACACAUACAUUGUUAAACACGAGGCCCAAAUGCCCUAUGGUGCUCACUUAAUGACCCAAAGGAACUAAACUGUUAUAUGCAGGUAGUGCUCACUUAAUGACCCAAAGGAACUAAACUGUUAAAUGCAGGUAGUGCUCACUUAAUGACCCAAAGGAACUAAACUGUUAUAUGCAGGUAGUGCUCACUUAAUGACCCAAAGGAACUAAACUGUUAUAUGCAGGUAGUGCUCACUUAAUGACCCAAAGGAACUAAACUGUUAAAUGCAGGUAGUGCUCACUUAAUGACCCAAAGGAACUAAACUGUUAUAUGCAGGUAGUGCUCACUUAAUGACCCAAAGGAACUAAACUGUUAUAUGCAGGUAGUGCUCACUUAAUGACCCAAAGGAACUAAACUGUUAAAUGCAGGUAGUGCUCACUUAAUGACCCAAAGGAACUAAACUGUUAAAUGCAGGUAGUGCUCACUUAAUGACCCAAAGGAACUAAACUGUUAUAUGCAGGUAGUGCUCACUUAAUGACCCAAAGGAACUAAACUGUUAUAUGCAGGUAGUGCUCACUUAAUGACCCAAAGGAACUAAACUGUUAUAUGCAGGUAGUGCUCACUUAAUGACCCAAAGGAACUAAACUGUUAUAUGCAGGUAGAGCUCACAAGGCUCACUUAAUGACCCAAAGUAACUACACUGUUAUAUGCAGGUAGUGCUCACUUAAUGACCCAAAGGAACUAAACUGUUAUAUGCAGGUAGUGCUCACUUAAUGACCCAAAGCACGGACUCUAGAUUACACGGAUAUGAAACGGGACCGUUACGCCAAAUAUCUUGUUGUGUCUAAGUCACGUGACCGUGUCGUAUCUGUCGAUCUUUUAUCGAAGCGCCGAUGUUAUACAUUUGAUGUACCCACUCACGUAUUUUGUUAAAUUAUAGUUUCAUUUCUAGGCCGAUUUUGACAAAUUAUAUAUCAUUAGAAAGCUUACGUAAUGUAGUUUUCAGAUAUAUAAAUAUAUAUUAAGUUUUUCUUCUGAUUUUGGCAGCUCGGCGAGUUAUAACUUUAACUUUUGCAAAUAUCAUACCGUUUUGGAGUUUUAGAAUCUAGAUUUACGGUUGACAUGUUCGUACUUAAUACCGAUUUGUAGCGUUUAUAUUUGGAGUUCA